CUUCAUUUCUACUUUUCAUUUUUACUGGGUGAAUCAUGUCGAAACAACGUUGGAGAGCAGGUCAAAGAUCCCGUGAGUGGUGCCUCUACUAUUCCUGGAGGAAAGGGACAUGCUUAUCUCUGAAGAUGAUGGAUCACAGAGAAGAAUCUGGACAAAUAGGCCUUAAAAGGUGGAACCUCCUUGCAACCAUGAGAUAACUACAAAGACUUACUCCACCUGUUUGUCCAGAAAGGACAAGAUAAGCGACAACCCACCACACACUGUGCCCAGGUACCCACUGAACAGCCUACUCCCUGCAUCCUGCCUGUGCAUAAGGCUGAAAGAAUGACCAAUCUCAACCCCUAGCUCAUUAUACUACUAAAAUCUCUGCCCUGAGAGGGACUUUUCUGCCAUUGGUCAUAUGAUGUAUGUACGAGCAUGAUUUCUCACUGUGCUUACGUGCCCUGCACUCCACCCCAAACAUGUAAUGAUGCUCACUCCCCUCAUGCAUUACUCAUUUGGCUUCCAGAAAAACUGACCCGGUUGACUGGGAGGCUGAUCUGAGGUGAUCCCUUCCUCCUAUCUCCUGGUUGAUGCAUCCUCUGCAAUAAAUUUCCU